UAGGGAAUCUUCCGCAAUGGACGAAAGUCUGACGGAGCAACGCCGCGUGAGUGAAGAAGGAUUUCGGUUCGUAAAACUCUGUUGUUAGGGAAGAAAAAAUGUAAAGUAACUAUAUACAAAAGAGACGGUACCUAACCAGAAAGCCACGGCUAACUACGUGCCAGCAGCCGCGGUAAUACGUAGGUGGCAAGCGUUGUCCGGAAUUAUUGGGCGUAAAGCGCGCGCAGGUGGUUUAGAAAGUCUGAUGUGAAAGCCCACGGCUCAACCGUGGAGGGUCAUUGGAAACUAAUAAACUUGAGUGCAGGAGAGAAAAGUGGAAUUCCUAGUGUAGCGGUGAAAUGCGUAGAGAUUAGGAGGAACACCGGUGGCGAAAGCGGCUUUUUGGCCUGCAACUGACACUGAGGCGCGAAAGCGUGGGGAGCAAACAGG
rnacentral:rRNA from 1 species